rnacentral:rRNA from 1 species
GUGCAGCAGUCGCGAAACCUCCGCAAUGCGGGAAACCGCGACGGGGGACCCCGAGUGCCGUGGCAACGCCACGGCUUUUCCGGAGUGUAAAAAGCUCCGGGAAUAAAGGGCUGGGCAAGGCCGGUGGCAGCCGCCGCGGUAAUACCGGCGGCCCGAGUGGUGGCCGCUAUUAUUGGGCCUAAAGCGUCCGUAGCCGGGCCCGUAAGUCCCUGGCGAAAUCCCACGGCUCAACCGUGGGGCUUGCUGGGGAUACUGCGGGUCUUGGGACCGGGAGAGGCGGGGGUACCCCUGGGGUAGGGGUGAAAUCCGUAUAAUCCCAGGGGACCGCCAGUGGCGAAGGCGCCCCGCUGGAACGGGUCCGACGGU